UACAAAGUAAUUAUAGUAAAGUACAGUACUCCCAAAAUAACUGUAAACGUCGUUAGACAAGUUAAUGUUAUACGCGUAAACGUUCUCAAACGACAUUAACUUGUGUUAGUGGAUUAGCUGCAGCAGCAGACGGAAGUAGCAGCAAGAGGUCCAAACGGUGGCAGCUGACAGCUCGCCCUCUAUGACGCAAGUACGUCACUGAUGGCGGACCGCACACUAGUCCACAGACACACACACUCGCCGAGGGACGGAGCAAAGUCACCGAGACACACUCUCGCAAGCCUAUUGGCCUAACUCCUGCCGAAUCGAACGCGAACCUUCCGAGGUGAGACGGGUAGCAGUGGUACAGUAGUUUAGUAGAAUGUGGGACGGGACGGGACCGGCUCGGCGAGCAGUGGAGUGAAGCCGGCCGCCUCGGGCUGACGUGCCCGCCGCAUGUUGAGCAAGCAGCAAGUUGACGGACAUAAAAGUGGCUUCGACGCGGAAGAGAAGAGGAGCCGGGCUCGCAUUUAAUAUCAUUUCGUCGAAUCUUCCUUCCUGCAACUAUGAAAUUCGCCGAGCACCUUUCGUCCCACAUCACUCCGGAGUGGCGAAAGCAGUACCUUCAAUAUGAGGCAUUCAAGGAUAUGCUUUAUGCAUCCCAGGACCAAGCCCCAUCUACAGAAGUCACAGAUGAGGAUACCGUGAAGAGAUACUAUGCUAAAUUUGAAGAGAGGUUUUUCCAGACCUGUGAGAAGGAGCUGUUGAAAAUCAACACUUUUUAUUCAGAAAAGCUUGCGGAAGCCCAGAGACGCUUUGCCACCCUGCAGAAUGAGCUGCAGUCUUCGCUGGAUGCCCAGCGCGAGAGCAACGCUCCGCCCGGGCUGCGCAAACGCAAGACCGUGUUCCACCUGUCGCAAGAGGAGCGCUGCAAGCACCACAACAUCAAGGACCUGAAGCUUGCCUUCAGUGAGUUCUACCUGAGUCUCAUCCUGCUGCAGAACUACCAGAAUUUAAAUUUCACCGGUUUCCGUAAGAUCCUGAAGAAACAUGACAAGAUUCUGGAUACCUCUCGCGGGGCCGACUGGCGUGUGGCACACGUGGAGGUGGCGCCAUUUUACACCUGCAAGAAGAUUACACAGCUCAUCACGGAGACUGAGACGUUGGUGACCACAGAGCUGGAGGGAGGAGAUCGUCAACGGGCGAUGAAGAGGUUACGAGUUCCUCCGCUGGGUGCCGCUCAGCCUGCUUUGGCCUGGACCACGUUUCGUGUUGGUCUUUACUGUGGCAUCUUCAUCAUCCUCGCCAUCGCCUUUGUCCUAACAGGCACAGUGUUCAUCCGCUAUGAGAACGUGUGGCCUCUAGUGCGGAUCUACCGGGGCGGGUUUCUUUUGAUCCAGUUCCUGUUCCUCCUGGGCAUAAACACAUAUGGUUGGAGACAGGCGGGAGUCAACCACGUGCUAAUCUUUGAGAUCAAUCCUCGGAACAACCUCUCACACCAGCACCUGUUUGAGAUCGCUGGGUUCCUCGGUGUGUUAUGGUGUCUCAGCAUCCUGUCGUGUCUCUACUCGGAGUACCUCUACCUCCCCAUGCAAAUCAACCCCCUCGUCCUCUAUGGCUUCAUGCUACUCUUCCUCAUAAACCCCUUCAAGACCUGCUACUACAAGUCGCGUUUCUGGCUGCUCAAGCUGCUGUUCCGAGUGUUCACGGCACCAUUUCACCGAGUGGAGUUUGCGGACUUUUGGCUGGCCGACCAGCUCAACUCGCUGGUGGUGGUCCUGAUGGACCUGGAAUAUCUCAUCUGCUUCUACAUCUUUGAGCUGCAGUGGAGCAACAGCAAUGGCUUGUUGCCCAAAAUAAACGACUCCGCAAACUACGUGUGCCACAGCUACUCGUACGGCCUGCGCGCCAUCAUCCAGUGUCUGCCCGCCUGGCUGCGCUUCAUCCAGUGCCUCAGGCGUUAUCGAGACACCAAGAGGGCCUUCCCCCACCUGGUGAAUGCGGGCAAAUAUUCCACCACCUUCUUCGUGGUCACCUUUGCCGCGCUCUAUGCCACACACAGAGAGCAAGGCCACACAGAUGCCGACACAUUCUUCUACCUGCUGAUCGUGUUCGCCACCAUAAGCUCCUUAUACACACUGAUCUGGGAUCUGCGCAUGGACUGGGGUCUGUUUGACCGCGGAGCUGGAGAAAACACCUUCCUCAGAGAAGAGAUUGUUUACCCACAUAAGGCCUACUACUACUGUGCCAUUUUAGAAGAUGUGAUCCUGCGUUUCGCCUGGACAAUCUCUCUCUCUCUGACCUCUAUGACCAAGAUUCACUCGGUGGGUGACAUCGUGGCCACUGUGCUGGCCCCCCUCGAGGUCUUCAGGCGUUUCGUGUGGAAUUUCUUCCGCCUGGAGAACGAGCACCUGAACAACUGCGGCGAGUUCCGUGCGGUGCGAGAUAUUUCUGUGGCGCCGCUCAACGCUGACGACCAGACGCUGCUGGAGCAGAUGAUGGACCAGGAGGACGGGGUCCGCAACCGCUCGGGCAAGAAGACCUGGAAGAGGUCCUACAGCCUCACGCUGCGGCGCCCUCUACUGUCCUCUCAGUAAGGAAGAUAAGACACAAUGACCAGGGGCCUCAUGUACAAAAGGUGCGUACGCACAAAAACGUGGCGUCUGUUCUUUUUCGCGGCAAAGUUCAGAUGUAUCAAAAGUGACAUGACCGUGGAAAUGUGCGGUGCCUCACGCCAACUGCAUGGCUGGCGUACGCACGUUUCUGCUGCUUUUGGUGCUUUGGCGACACUUAGAGGUGAUGCUGGGAAACAGUUCUCAUAAAUCUGCACACCAGAGACACAUGAAUAAUUAGUACUGAUGAACAAUUCCUGCCCGGCAACAUUUGAUUUCAACAAUGCAAUUGAGGCAAGGACUGAGAAUUAUUAAUGGAUCAAGGCGAUCAUUUAUGCCGCCUAUUGCCUUCAUAAUCGCGUCGUGACUCCAGCACAUGCACUGAAAAAAAAAAAGAGUCCUUUUUAAUUUACUUCAUUUGAACAUGUACAUCGGUUGCACAUGAUUAAAAUGUGUUUAAAUUGACAUAAUUUACCCCUCUUCUCCUAAAAAAACAUGAUUCAUUGUCAGUGUGCGUGUCCUCUCCUGUGUGUUAAAAUAAUAAAUUGAGUAAUCAAAAAGGAAUCAACGUUUUUGAUAUCCUCUUUGAUAUGCUGAUGUGCUUCUAUUGCUUCUAUUUAUUACAAAUACCACACAUACAACAUUUACGCAUGAACCAUUAUCUCACAGGGCUUAGUGUAGGUUACUGUAUGAAUACAUUUGUUAUGAGUUCUAAAAAUACAUUAACCUUGUGGGGUGAUCAUAGUGGGAUCGGCUCCAGCACCUCGCGACCCUGAACAUAGGGUCACCCAUGAUCGCAGCGAUUCUCUCCUCAAACGGGUGAGGCCCUCGGCGCCGGUUCUUCCACCUUUUUCUGGCCACACUUUGGCAGUGGGCGGCUUUCCUCCAAUUCACAUCCACCUUAAUGUCUGACCACUUCUUUUUUAGUUCAAAGUGUGCGCGCUGUUCUGUCUCCACAGCAUUGACAGCCGUACACACGCUGUCCCAUUCGCUCCUCUUUCGCGUGUUGUUAACGCCGUACGACAGCGUGCCAAAGAGGAUUUUCUUGCGUGCCUCCACUUCAUUGAGCAACUUCACAUUCAGAAAAAAUAUUUUUCUUCAUUACCUUGCUCAUUUUCCUUUUUUUCUGAUUAUGCAGAGAUCCGCAUCUCAGGUGCAGGGUUCAUUUAAAUAUGAUUUGCAUAUUCAAAUGUGGGCGUGGACAGGGAGGAGUCGGCUACUCCAACAUGUGCGCUCAUUUCCACGUUGAUUGGAAUGUACGAGUACGCGACUUUCAUCCAUCUGAAUAUUUUUGUCCGUACGGCGAUUUCUGGAUUUGAGCGUACGCCAUGUUUUAGGAGGAAAUCCACGUCCAAAAAGGACACCAAGGUUCUAAUUGAGGAUACGGAUGAUGAGGCCUUCAGCUGAAUCACCAGCGAGCAUCGGCACAUGUCGACAAACAACCACACACACUCACACGCCACAUGGGUCUUCUUUUCCAUCUCUAACCUUUAGUCAAAAUGCCGCCGCCGCCCCCCCCCCCCCCCCCCCCCCCCCCCCCAAAAAAUUUCUUUUUUGCUGGGCAAUGAAAAGUACUUAUCGCCAUCAUUUGUGAGAUUUCUUUUCAUUCAUGCAAACUACGAAAACAAUGAAAAUGUUGUUGGUGUUUUUCUUUAUCGUAAAAAACAAAAUGGAAAUCAUGCAUUUCAACCUUUUGUGAUUUAUUUUUUCUUUUUUUGUAAUUUUUUUGCGCCCCACCAAAAGAAAUGUCCAUGUUGAGUGGAUAUUUUUCUUUUUCUUUUAAAAAUUGAAAACAAUAAGAAUAUAUUUCCAAAUUAUAUUUUGUUUUUGUUUUUUAUCUUUAAAGAAUUUGUGGAUUUUUGUUUUAUUUUGUCAAAAAAAAACAUUGAAAUGAAUAUAUUUCCAAAUUUGUGGAUUUUAUUUUAUUUUUAUAUUUAAAAAACAUUUUUACAAGAAUGUAUGUCCACAUUUUGUGGAUUUUCUUUCCUUUUAUUUGAAAAACUAAAAUAUUUAAGAGAACGUAUCUUUGAAUGUUCUACUGGUAUUUUUUUCUUAUCUAAAAAGAAGUUGAAAAGCAUGCAUCUCCAAAUGUGGAUUUUUUUUUAUGUUAAAAAACAAACAUUGUUUUUGCACAUUUUAGGAUUUUUUUUUUCCCUUAAAAAAACAAAAAACUAAACAAAAACAAAGGCAAUGGAAAACAUGUAUCUCCAAAUUUUGUGAGCUUUUAGAGAGAAAAAUGCCCAAAAAAACAAGAACAACAGGGUAUUGUUGUUUUUUGGCUUUAGAUGUUGAAAAGAAAAAAUUCCUAAGAAUCGGCGAUACUUUUCAUUGCUCAGUGACGAAACCAGUGAGGGGCUAACAAAGACCUCAUGUUACCUCAUCCUCAUGUAAACACACACACACACACGCACGCACCAUAAUGUGGUGAUCCUCACAAUCUGCUGAAGCACAAAUAUAGUAUUACACUCGACGUAUAAGACAACAAUGUUCCUUUUCUUUCCUUCUCUCUAUCCAUGCAUGCCAUGCAACAAAAAGCUAUUAUCGCCACCUUUUUUGUUUUGUUUUUUGUUUUUCUUUCCAAAACCCAACAAACAUAUUGUUUUCUUUGUGUUUUGGAUGAAAAUGGAAACAAUUUGAGAAGGUUUUUUUGUUUUUGUUUAGUUUUUUUGUGGCAUGGCGAUGAUGUGCUUUUAUUUCUAACCAAGCUGCAUAGACGACUGUUUACAUGCCUUUCUGGACUACUUACAGGAUCAACAGGGACAACAAGAAACAAUCAAAAAAACCAACAAAAAAAAAACAAAAAAAAGAAUUCAGUAGAAACCCGAGGAAGGACUUGAAACACGCAGCAUAUCAGAACAAAUCAACUGGUUUGACCUCAAUGAUUAUUAUUUUAUACUGUUUUUGGUUUCUUUCCUUUUAAUUGUUUGUUGUUGUUAUAAGAUAUUUAAAAAGUGCUGUCGCAACGCUGGAGGCACUUGCAGGAAAAGUGCAUUUAAUACACAAACUACAUGUAGACGACGAGGGAUGUCGCUUUGUAAUAUAAUACUUUGAUGUGCAUUAAUACUGUACUGUCCUUGUCCCGGUUCAGUGUCGUUUCUACUAGUGAGAGGAGCAUCCAACUCAGUGAUGUAUUUUCUAAUGUUUGGACUUUUUUGACACACGUUUCUACUCAAUUUCUUGUGAAAACCAAAACCAGUCUGUACAAAAUGAAUGCUUGUAUGGAAAGCUGUUUCAGCAUUCAUUCCAUAUCUUCUUAAUCUUAAGGUCCAUGUACUAGUACACUCUUUGUCCUCACUAGUAAGACAAUUCAGCACACUAGUAGACAACUUUCUUACUAAUACCGUUUGUUUGUUUGUUUUCCCCCACUACGCUGACAUUUCUGCACACGAGUAGGCCAACGUCAUACUAGUAGAAUGAAUAAAUGUUACUAGUGAGGUAAAAUUGUGCACUACUUGACAUCAGCUUGCUACUAGCACUACUAGUGAAAUGCUAAAUAUUCACUUGUUAAAUGUUACAAUGUUGCUAGUAGUACUUGUAGUGCACAGUUGUCAACUAAGGCAGUUUUUCCUCACUGGUAGCAUGUAGUUGUCAUACUAUGUAAAAGUUGCCCUACUAGUGAGGACAAAGAGUGUACCGUAUUUUCACAACCAUAAGGCGCACCGUAUUAAAAGGCGCAGUCUCAGUUACGGGGUCCAUUUCUGUAUUUAACACAUACAUAAGGCGCACCGUAUUAUUGGGCGCAGGCAUGGUAAAACAUACGCUAGCUUAAAACAGACGGUAGCAUGCAUGCACGCUAAAACAAAGGCAGCGGGAGCAAAACUGAGUUCGGUUGUACUUUAUUGAACUAUUUAAGAAUGUACACACGUUAUUUUUUGAACAAUCCUCAUGCACAAAUCCAUCAAAGUCUCCUCGUGUUCUGUAUCCGAAAUGAACAGCUGGGCAAGUUCUCCAUCAAACACGGCAGGUUCGCUCUCGUCAUUGUCAGAGUCAGUCUCGUUGCCGUGCGGCUCCUCAGAAAUGAUCCCGGCUUUUAGGAAAGCUCGAACAACAGUGCAAGCAGACACGUUAGCCCAAGCAUCCACAAUCCAUUCACAAAUUGUGCCGUAACUCGCCCGGCGCUGCCUCCUAGUCUUAGUAAAGCUGUGUUCGCCAUCUGUCAUCCAUCGCUCCCACGCCGCUCGCAACUUCACUUUGAACCGAUGUCCAGCGGUUGGAUUUCCCUCGUCAAGCCACUCGGAAUGAUGGCAAGCUCCGAGUUAUUGCGCUUAGUCGAAUGGUGAGUGUAGAGACGCUUGUCCCGGCUCUUCUUUGAACAUUAAUCUAUUGGUCGAGUUCCUCGCCUUGUUUCCGCGGAAACUCAGCUUUGUCUUCUUGACUUGGCGACGCUCGUUUUCCUGCUUCCUCCGCUUGCGAACCAUGGAUUCGUUGAUGUUGAAUUCUCUCGCGGCUGCUCGAUUCCCAAGUUCCUCCGCGUAACUGAUAGAUUGCAGUUCAAACUGUGCUUCGUAAGCGUGUCUUCGUAGGUGCCGUUUUCGGGGGUCCUUAGCCAAACCGAUGUUGAUUUGCACAAUGCACACCCCGGCGCUAUAUACCGACUGUGGGCGUGCCUUUAGCGUCCUGUGUCAAGCGCACCCUUCCCCCUUUACGUCUGUCUGCAUGCUGUCCUCAGCCACGUCCGCUUUUCCUCUGUAUAAGCAGCGUGUCGGCAGGAAAUGCUCCCAGUCAGUCAAGCGAAGCGCUCAUCGCACAACAACGUUUAUAGAUUUUGGAACUCUGUGCACACAUAAGGCGUCCCGCAUUAUAAGGCGCCCCCGUCCAUUUUGAAAAUGUAAGUCUUUUAAGUGCGCCUUAUGCUUGUGAAAAUGCGGUACUAGUACAUGGACGUUGAGCUGGAUAGCAAGGAUAUUGAGUAAAUGCUCAAAUGCAUUUAUUGGAUAUCCUUGAUAUCCAGCUUAAUGUCCAUGUACUAAUACAUGCCUUGUCUUCACUAUUAGACAAAUAUAUAAAUAAAUAUUUUUAAAAAAACUCAGCACACAUGUAGAACAACUAGGGUGCACUAGUAAAAUGAUCGUCUUACUAGUAACUAGUAGGACAAUGCUGGCAUACUAGUGGGACCAAUACAUGUUACUAGUGUGGCAAAACUUCACUAGUUCACAUUUGCGCACUACUAGUGAAAUGCUAGAUGUUAACUAGUAAACCUUUACUAAUAAUAAUAGUAGCACGUACAUUUCACCUAGUGCAGUUUUGCCUUACUAGCAACUGUCCUACUAGUAUGCUAAAGUAUCAAAUCCUUUAUACCCAGUUUAAAAUCCAUGUGCUAGUAUGCUCUUUGUUCUCACUAGUAAGACAAUUCACUACACUAGUAGAACUGGGUCUUACUUGUAUGACAUUUGUGCAUAGUAGUAGGACAAGAUCAUGUUCCUAGCGAGGCAAAACUGUGCACUAUCUGUGUGCUACUAGUGGACCCCAAAAGGCCAGGAUGAGUGCAAUGUGCUGAAAUGUGGAAGUCACGCUGCCCCCUUUUGUUUCAAUACACGAGACGUCGCUUCACCCCCGCCAACACGAUGUUUUUGGACACAGUUGCCUUGCCUGCAUGCUGCUUUUCGUUCCACAAUUUACAUCGAAGUUAAUUUAUUGUUCCUGACGUGUAUAUUUAUAUUAGCAGCCAUGAUUGAUGUUGCCAUUUUGGACAAGCAGUAUUUUGUAGCUUUUGUUUCUCUGUGUUUUUGUUAGGGUUAGGCUCUCUUUUUCAUGUGUAGUUAUUGGGGGAGGAAAUCUGAAUGUUUCAUUUUUUAUCCCAAGUGUACAUUAGUGAAUGUGCAUGAAGCUGUCGUGGCUGUGGCAUGAGUUGUUGUAGACGGACACACUUUGACCCACCGAACAGGAAACGGCAGAAGAGCCCACAUCUCCCCAGAUCCAUUUAUGGGAAGUCCCGAUGUUUUUUACUUUUCUUUUCUACACCAAUGACGUUAACGUGCUUCGUAGAUGUGCAUCUUCCCUGCUGUAUGUGUUUGCAGUAGUUGUUCUCCUGUAGACUAGCUGAACGUGAUGUUAGAUGGAUGUUCUACUCGGUAAGAAAACUAGAUUGUGGCUAAAUGUGAUUUUCAAGUAAGACUAAAAAGAAAAAGAAUGAUGUCUAAUUGUAGAUCAUCCUGGUUCAACUGAGUAGUUUGUACAUGUUGAGUGUAUAACGCUGUUCUCUCUAUGAUGUGUUUGUAUUUCUGUACACAAUUUGGUGAUCCUGUCAUAUCUGGGUUUUAUAAACCAGCGUUAUUUUUAAAGCUCA